rnacentral:ncRNA from 1 species
UUCCACAGGGGGAGCUUUUGCUGAGAGUGAAUCGAUUCUAUUCGGUAUUCCGGAUAGGCUCAUUCAGACCCUUUGAACCUGUCUAGUUAAUACUAGCGUAGGGAUUGUGGA